rnacentral:ncRNA from 1 species
AUAAUGAUACUUCCGUCCAGCCACAGUCUAAAGCAAUGGGGCGGCUUUGCGAGAACCGCAUCGGGGUGAGAUUCCCAUGA